rnacentral:rRNA from 1 species
UGAAAUCCCCGGGCUCAACCUGGGAACUGCAUUCGAAACUGGCAGGCUAGAGUCUUGUAGAGGGGGGUAGAAUUCCAGGUGUAGCGGUGAAAUGCGUAGAGAUCUGGAGGAAUACCGGUGGCGAAGGCGGCCCCCUGGACAAAGACUGACGCUCAGGUGCGAAAGCGUGGGGAGCAAACAGGAUUAGAUACCCUGGUAGUCCACGCCGUAAACGAUGUCGAUUUGGAGGUUGUGCCCUUGAGGCGUGGCUUCCGGAGCUAACGCGUUAAAUCGACCGCCUGGGGAGUACGGCCGCAAGGUUAAAACUCAAAUGAAUUGACGGGGGCCCGCACAAGCGGUGGAGCAUGUGGUUUAAUUCGAUGCAACGCGAAGAACCUUACCUG